rnacentral:tRNA from 1 species
GGGGAUAUAGCUCAGUGGUAAGACAUUUGCCUGGCAUGUGCAAGGCCCUGGGUUCAAUCCCCAGUACUGCCA